rnacentral:tRNA from 1 species
GAGGGUAUAGCUCAGUGGUACAGCACAUGCUUAGCAUGUGUGAGGUCCUGGGUUCAAUCCCUAGGACCUCCA